rnacentral:rRNA from 1 species
UACAGAGGUCCCGAGCGUUGUUCGGAUUCACUGGGCGUAAAGGGUGCGUAGGUGGUUAGGUAAGUCCGAUGUGAAAUCUCCAGGCUCAACCUGGAAAUGGCAUUGGAUACUAUCCGGCUCGAGGAAUGGAGGGGAGACUGGAAUACUUGGUGUAGCAGUGAAAUGCGUAGAUAUCAAGUGGAACACCAGUGGCGAAGGCGAGUCUCUGGACAUUUCCUGACGCUGAGGCACGAAAGCCAGGGGAGCAAACGGG